rnacentral:rRNA from 1 species
UGUAAGCGUAUACCAAAGUUGUUGCAGUUAAAACGCUCGUAGUCGGACCUUGGCAGUUCCGGAUGUGUGCACGUCGUGUGCGCACUUCGCGGGGAUUGCUUUUGUGGUCUUGCGUAGGAUGAGGCACUUUUAUUAGUGAACGUCCUCACGCAACCACUUUUUACUGUGAGAAAAUCAGAGUGCUCAAAGCAGGCAUUUGCCGUGAAUGUAUUAGCAUGGAAUAAUAGGAUAGGACUUGGUUCUAUUUUGUUGGUUUGUUGGGACUGAGUAAUGAUUAAGAGGGACAGUUGGGGGCAUUUGUAUUUCGGUGCUAGAGGUGAAAUUCUUAGAUUACCGAAAGACAAACUGCUGCGAAAGCGUCUGCCAAGGAUGUUUUCAUUGA